rnacentral:rRNA from 1 species
UUCCAGCUCCAAUAGCGUAUAUUAAAGUUGUUGCAGUUAAAAAGCUCGUAGUUGAAUUUCGGGACCAAUAUGUCGGUCGUACUUUGUACGUACUAGCAUUAUUGGUUUCUCCCUUCUGAAGAACCGCGAUGUCAUUAAUUUGGUGUCGUGGGGAAUCAGGACUGUUACUUUGAAAAAAUUAGAGUGUUUAAAGCAGGCUCGCGCUUGAAUACAUUAGCAUGGAAUAAUGAAAUAGGACGUUUGAUUCUAUUUUGUUGGUUUCUAGGAUCGACGUAAUGAUUAAUAGGGAUAGUUGGGGGCAUUAGUAUUCAAUUGUCAGAGGUGAAAUUCUUGGAUUUAUUGAAGACUAACUACUGCGAAAGCAUUUGCCAAGGAUGUUUUCAUUAAUCAAGAACGAAAGUUAGGGGAUCGAAGACGAUCAGAUACCGUCGUAGUCUUAACCAUAAACUAUGCCGACUAGGGAUCGG